CUAGCCGUAAACGAUGGAUACUAGGUGUGGGUGUCGCAGGGCAUCCGUGCCGCAGCAAACGCGUUAAGUAUCCCGCCUGGGGACUACGGUCGCAAGACUGAAACUCAAAGGAAUUGACGGGGGCCCGCACAAGCGGUGGAGCACGUGGUUUAAUUCGAUGCAAACCGAAGAACCUUACCUGGUUUUGACAUGCAAGUGGUAGUGAAGAGAAAUUGGAACGACCGUGCAGUAAUGUACGGAGCUUGCACAGGUGC
rnacentral:rRNA from 1 species